rnacentral:rRNA from 1 species
GAUGAACGCUGGCGGCGUGCUUAACACAUGCAAGUCGAACGGAAAGGCCCAAGCUUGCUUGGGUACUCGAGUGGCGAACGGGUGAGCAACACGUGGGUGAUCUGCCCUGCACUUCGGGAUAAGCCUGGGAAACUGGGUCUAAUACCGGAUAGGACCACAUUUUGGAUGGUGUGGUGGAAAGUUUUUCGGUGUGGGAUGAGCUCGCGGCCUAUCAGCUUGUUGGUGGGGUAAUGGCCUACCAAGGCGUCGACGGGUAGCCGGCCUGAGAGGGUGUACGGCCACAUUGGGACUGAGAUACGGCCCAGACUCCUACGGGAGGCAGCAGUGGGGAAUAUUGCACAAUGGGCGCAAGCCUGAUGCAGCGACGCCGCGUGGGGGAUGACGGCCUUCGGGUUGUAAACUCCUUUCGCUAGGGACGAAGCGUUAUGUGACGGUACCUGGAGAAGAAGCACCGGCUAACUACGUG